rnacentral:snoRNA from 1 species
AUUUGAUGGUGUGGGCAGCUUGCACAUAAUUUCUUGAAACGUUCCCAAUAUUCAUUACAACGACUCUCCAUUGUUUUGUCUUAUACCACAGAUUUCCUUUCUAAUGUU